ensembl:lncRNA
UUUUUGUGGGAGGUCAGAAAGUUGCAUGGUGGGUCCUAAAGUGAUCCGAAUAUUUAAACCCUUGUUUAUUGUAUAAUUUGGUUCUAUGAUUUAACCCAGCACUGUCAGUUUAAAGACCUGGACAGCGUCUUAAGAAAGUCUGGUCAAUGAAACUUUGAAAGGCGUCCAACUGUCCCUAAAAAUAGCAAGUAUGGAUCCUGAAACCAUCGCCUUCUGUUUCCUUCCACUCUCAGUGCCGCAAAGAAGUGCAAUCCGUCAGGUGAUAAACACGUUUGAUGUCGCUUCUCUGUCAGCUCCAAGUUAGCAGAGUAUUAACCAGUAUUUCAAAGGGAAACCUUUGUGGUUCAAUUGGUGUUGAAAGCGCACAAAGUAAUCAGCAGAAUACUGGAGAAGUUUACUGCGUUUGUGGAAGACUGAACGAGGGCAAUUCAUCGGUCUUAUGCCUCUCUUCAUCGAUUAAACAGAGCUCUUAUCUCAUCACCUGGCACCUUUGUUUUGGAUUUGCCAAGAAUUUCCUAAAUCGAGAGUGGGUAUACACGACGGGUUUUAAUCUAAAUCGGGAUCUAUACAUCCAAACUGGGAUCUAUGAGCGGAAAAGUGGCUAAGCCUAAAGAAGAAAAGGAUGCUUCAAAGGAAUGACGUGUUGGUGGAUCUCUGUUUGGAGUUUAAUGACUGGCGACCUUCUUUAAAGAAAAGACCACACCACAGGACACCGCCUGACACCACCGGAGCUCCUCAUUAACUUACAACCAGCUCAACACACACACACACUUAUAUCCACAAUAUAUUCCAUAUAUUUAACAAAUCCACAUACACUUACCUGUAUCAUCAAUAUAAACAUUUCAUAUAUUUAAGAAGCUAUUCUAUAUUAAACUUUAGUAGUAUUACCUAAUCAAUCCAUUAGGCACCAAUUUGUAAGUACGUAUGUGUCAAAAAUCUGACUUGUGUGGGUCUGGUGCUCCGAUAACAUACUGAUUCUCUGUUCAAAGCUUUGCUGCAUUUAGAAUGCAUUUAAAACAUCAAAAUGAUGUUCAUCUAUGCAUCUAUCUACUUUUCUGCAGUGUAGACUGUUUCGUUAAUUAUAACAGGAGAUUGCAUCCUAUUUCUGUGAAUUGGAGGGAUAGUUUUGUCACGGUGCAUCAUUUGUUUUCUACUGCUGAAAGAUCAACAAGCUGUUUAUCCAGACAUCAGGAGACUUGCAUCUCAGGUACACUCACAUGCGCGCACACAGAACUGCUAUUGUCACUCAAACAUUUAAGUGCUCUUUGUUGACAUGUUUGCAUUUUUGAAAGUCCGUAUAGUUUUAUGUACAGUUAGUCAGUGGUUUUCAAGCAAGGCCAACAAUAAUUGAAGGCCCCAUGAUUUUUCCAGUUGUUUGUGAAUUGAUGAAAAGGAUUAAGGAUGAG